GUUCAGGGAGGCAACCAGCCCACCUGUGUGAACAGCAUCAAAGCUCAGCAUCAAAUCUCCCACUCACACCCAUCACACAUGUGCACACGCCUACAAAUAGAGGAUAUGGAGGGAGAUCAGUCUGUCUUAUGGAGCCAUCGCUGGAAGAACAACAGAUCCCAGGGUCCUGGUCAGAACCACAUCAAGAAGUUUGACUUUUGCUGCUCCGCCACCGCAAAGCUUUUCAUCUCCUAAUCUGUGACGUCUAUCUGACAGAGCCUGGGAGAGUCGGCGGAGGGAAGGAGAGGCAAGAUAGGGAAGGAGUGGAGAGGGGAGGAAAGAAAAACCAAAGGGAAGAAACUAUUGGAGGCAAGCGAGGCGAGAUGAGACGGGAAGGAAAAAGACAAAAAGAGAACAAGAAUGUAGGCGAGGACGAGAUAAAACAAGGGGAGACGGGAGAGUUGAAGACACAAGAGAUGGAACUGUGUUUGCAGCUUUGACAGUGUUGUCAGUCAGCAGGGAAACAGUGUCCUCAGGCUCUAACAUCACUGGGUGGAGGAACACCAACGCUAUUAUUAUUAUUAGCAACACGUCUGACUUUCCAACAGAAGCUGUCAACACUCUCCAAUAAACGUACUUUCACCAUGGCAGGUUAUUCCAGUUUGUUCUACAGAAACUCGUGUUGCGUCUCGGCUCGCUGUGAACUCUGGGAAGUCCCUUGAACUCUGCUGGCCCUCGGCUCCUCCUUCCCUCCCAGGAAAACCAACAAUCGGAGAGGAAGAGCGGCUGAGAAAUGGAGAAAAAAGGAAGCAGACGGAGGAAAGAAAAAACAGUGAAGCCGAAGCGAAGGCAGCAGACAGACGGACAGACAGAGGCCUGAAUCUCGGAGUGUUUUCCUUUGAUCCCGCUGAGCUCCGGCUCUGACCAGGAUAUAAUUGCCGAGGCAGCAUCGCUUUUAAAGCCUUGGACGAUGAAAACCCGGCACAUGAAAGUGUUUGCUCAGAAAACAGGCGAGAGAGGCCGAUCAGUCGGUGCGAACUACCGCAGAGAGUUGACGCCACAGAUAUGAGCCCCGAGAUCCGACGUGUGUGAUGCUGCGAUGUAUACAAACACAACGGAGGCCUUGUGGUCGCCGGCUCACCCUGGAUGACGUAUGUGCGGCGCUGCUGGACGCUGCCACAUCUCGCCGCUCAAACCUCUGAAGAAAAGCCUCCCGCGACCUGAAAAUAAAGGCACACAGAAAGCCAGAGUCAUGAGUCAGGCCUGACGAGGUUGACCAAGUUUGUUUGUCUGCAGAACGUCUUUUCUAAACAUCUUCACUGUCUCCGGUUUUUGUUUCUCUUGACAGGAAGCCAGAGAUGCUACUCGACAAGCCAUUUCCCCUCGGAGUCGGCAACGUAUCACGUUUCCAAAAACACCGCGGCUGUCGGGAACUCGCAGCUCGCCGCUGAUAAUUAUCCUGCAGGUCGGCAGGGGAUUAGACGCUUCCUUUGUAAAGGUCGGCAGACGGUGUCACCUGAUGCUGCUGAGAUCCGCCGCGGAGCAACAAAAACAGCACAAUAACCGACCGCAGGGCGACGGUGACAAGUGAACCUGAUCCAGGCCUGACCUGAGGUGAUCCGUCCGGAGAUGAUCCUUCCUCCGCUGCUCCUCCUGCUGCCGUCGCUGCUCCAGACGCUCGGCCUGCAGCACAAAACACACCAAACGUUUCCACACAUGCAUGAGUGACGGUGAGCUCAUGACCACUGGAAGGAAUGAUGCUGCUCAGGAAACUGUGAAAGAUCUCAGGCUGUGCACCCAAUUAGGGCUGCAAGGAAUACAGGAUUCAACAACUCAGACUUUGGAUUUGCUCCGAAUUAAGGAGUUUUUAUGUUUGGUUGACCUGCAGGAUCCACACUUACAAUCAAGACACAAGAGAGAAACUCUGAAAGAUGCGAAAAUAAAGCAGUUUCAUGGAAAUAUUAGACUUCUGUCAACCACAAACAGCACAACGGAUUAAUCUGACCGUUUAAUUCAGCAGCGCAAAGCUCUGUAAAGCCAAUCCAAAGCAAAAAUAACUACUUAGGAAGAAUUUGUCACUGUUACGUCACAUAAAAACGUUCCAAACUGCUUUUUUUCAGCUUUUAAAAUUUUUGGUGCUAAUUAUCUUUUUGCUACAACUUUUUUUGCUGCUUUAUACGAAAGAAAUCACAAAUCUACAAGAGAAGUCUGUUUUAAAGAGCAUCAUUUGCUCUAAUUUAAGAAGUUUUUAUGUUCUGUUGACCUGCAGGUUCCACAUGUGCACAGUAUAAUGAUCAGAAAACAGAAGAAAAACUGUAAAAGUUGUAAAAAGGAAUCAGUUGCAUGGAAAUAUUAGACUGAUGUCGACCAAAAACAGCACAAUGGAUUAAUCUGACCGUUUAAUUCAGGAGCAUAAAGCUCUGCAAAGCCAAUCGAAAGCAAAAACAACUAUUUAAGAACCCUUUGUCACGGUUACACCACAUAAAAAAGGUUCCAAAUUGGAUUUUUUCAGCUUUUUAAAGAUGUUUGCUUUUUGUUUUUUUUUAAAUUUUUGGUGCUAAUUAUCUUUUUGCUACAACUUUUUGUUUCUUGCCUGAUACUAAAGAAAAUUGCAUGAUGAAUCUACAAGAGAAAUCUCUGGUAGAACAUCAUUGAUUCCAUUUUAAGGCUUUGGUGGAGGUAUUUUUUAAACUUUAUUUAAAAGACGCAACGUUUGUUGACAUGCAGACUCCAUUUGUGCACAGAAAAAGAUUUUUUUAAAGACUUUUUUUGUAUUUUUGGUGAUAAUUAACUUUUUGCUACAACUUUUUUGCUGCUUGAUGCAAACGAAAGCACUAAUCUACAAGAGUAGCUCGUCUGGACAUCAUUUACCCUAAUUUAAAGCUUCUUGGAGGUUUUUUUUUAACUUUAUUUAAAAGGCACUAAAUUUGUUGACCUGCAGGUUCCACAUGUUUGCAGCCAAAUGAUCACAAAACAUGAGGGAAACUGUAAAAGUUGCAAAAAGAAACCAGUUGCAUGGAAAUAUUUUGGUUACAGAAAGAAGGAUAUUGAUCAAAAACAGCACCACAAAGUUCUGCAACACCCAAUCUGAACGCCAUCCAAAGAAAAAACAACUAUUUAGGAAGUAUUAUCAGUGUUACACCACAUGAAAGAGGUUUUUACAAAGAUUUUUUGUUUUUAAGUUGGUGCUAAUUAACUUUUUGCUACUAUUUUUUUUGCUAAAGAAAUGACUGAUCUACAAGAGUAGCUUGUCUGGAGAUCAUUUAGUCCAAUUCUAACUUUAUUUAAAAGAUGCAAAGUUUUUUGACUUGCAAGUUCCACAUGUGCACAGCAAAAAAGAUAAAGAAACUGGACAGAAACUCUGAAAGUUGCAUGGAAAUAUUUCAGUUAUAGAAAGAAUAUAUUGACUAAAAACAGCACAACUGAUUAAUUUGACUGUUUAAAUCAGCAGCACGAAGUUCUGCAAAGCAAAUCCAAAGCAAAAGUAACUAUUUAGGAACCUUUGUCAGUGUUACGCCACAUGAAAAAGGUUCCAAAAUGCAUUUUUUUCAGCUUUUAAAAGCUAUAUAUUUUAUUUUUGGUGAUAUUUAAUUCCGCUAAACAUGCUCUGGAGUGAUUUUUAUUUUAAAUAUGGAGUUAUUCAAGCGAUUUGGUGAAAAUGAUCUGAGGUUUGUCUUCUAGAGAAUCUAUAUUUACAGUUCAGUGACCAGGGUUUUCCUUCUUAAACGUGAAUAUUUUCUUGUUUAUUUUCUGUGUCACAUAAGAAACAUUCUGAACUGCUUUUUUCCAGCUUGUUAAAGAUAGUUUUCUUAUCACUAAUGCAGAUCCACUCCCCUACAAAAUCAGCCCAAUCACUCUAGAAUGAUUAAUUCCUUCUAAAUAGUUAUUCAAACAGUCUGGUGAAAAUGAACUGUACUUUCUGUAUCACAGAAAAUACCGUUUUUCCAGAAUUGUGCAGCUUUACAUCCUACACAUCAUGAUUAUUACGGGCUCUAGUGAUUCCUGGAGAAUGUAUUUACAGUAUGAUGAUGAGGUUUUUCCUGCAUAGAGCCUCCCAAAGAGGUUUUAGGCAAUACCAAAGAAUAAUCACAAUUAAUUUAACCAGUUUAAUUGCUUAGGAUGUCAUUAACUGCAGCAUAAUUUACAUUCUGUCAAUCAAAUGGUCAGAAAUGUCAGGGAAAUCCACAGAUUUUGUCAAAUGAGGUCACACAGAGCAGGAAAACCCCGACUAAUGCUCUCUAAUUACAGUCAUUAAGCUACUUGUGCUUGUCUGACAUGAAAAACAUGACUGACAUGAUGGUUUCAGUAUGAAAGCUGCCUUGUUGUUGUGCCAAGAAGCAGUGACUUUUCAAUUUUUAAGUCUGUAAGUGCUGCAACAUCAUCCCAAACAUUAUUUGCAACAGUACAAUGUUAAUGAGUCAAUACAAUCCUACUUUCCUCUGAA